GUCAUAUGAAGGGCGACGACGGUGAGAAAACGUACUUUUGAAUAUAAAUCUGAAUUUUUUCUAAAUGGGAGUCAUAAGACAUUCUAAUGGCAGCAGUUGACACGGUACAGUGGUGUAGUGGUUAGCACUCUCGCCUCCCAGAGAGAUGCCUCGGGUUCAACUCCACCCAGUGGUGCCUCUGUGUUAGGUGGUGUAGGCUAAGCCUGCAUGGGGUUCACUCCAUAUUUGUAAAAGUAAUGGAAAAAACUUUUUUUAAACUUCCAAGUCUAAAAAAAAUGCCAAAAUAUUUUGCAAAAAGUAAUGAAAUUCUAUCUUUAUUCAUAUGAAGGUGUACGAUGGUGAGAAAACCUACUUUUGAAUAAAAAUCCGAAUUUUUUCUAAAUUGGAUUCAUAAGACAUUCUACCGGCAGCAGUUGACACGGUACAGUGGUGUAGUGGUUAGCACUCUCGCCUCCCAGACAGAUGCCUCGGGUUCAACUCCACCCAGUGGAGCCUCUGUGUUAGGUGGUGUAGGCUAAGCCUGCAUGGGAUUCACUCCAUACUUGUAAAAGUAAUGGAAAAAAGUUUUUUUUAAACUUUAGCAUCUGAAAAGAAUCCCCAAAUAUUUUGCAAAAUGUCAUGAAAUUCUAUCUUUAGUCAUAUGAAGGGGGACAAUGGUGAGAAAACGUACUUUUGAAUAAAAAUCCGGAUAUUUUCUAAAUUGGAGUCAAUAGACAAUCUAAUUGCAGCAGUUGACACGGUACAGUGGUGUAGUGGUUAGCACUCUCGCCUCCCAGACAGGUGCCUCGGGUUCAACUCCACCCAGUGGCGCCACUGUGUUAGGUGGUGUAGGCUAAGCCUGCAUGGGGUUCACUCCAUAUUUGUAAAAUUAAUGGAAAAAACUUUUUUUAAACUUCCAAGUCUAAAAAAAAUGCCAAAAUACUUUGCAAAAAGUAAUGAAAUUCUAUCUUUAGUCAUAUGAAGGUGUACGAU
ensembl:lncRNA